AUUGAACGCUGGCGGCAGGCCUAACACAUGCAAGUCGAGCGAGCGGCAGACGGGAGAGUCAUGUCUGGGACCUUCCUUUAUGACGGGGGUAACUUCCUGGAAACGGUAGUUAAUACCGCAUACCCUCAGAUGUGACAAGAUUGGAUUAGCUAGUAGGUGGUGUAAUGGCUCACAUAGUCGACGAUCCCUAGCUGGUCUGAGAGGUUGACCAGCCACACUGGAACUGAGACACGGUCCAGACUCCUACGGGAGGCAGCAGUAGGGAAUAUUGCGCAAUGGGCGAAAGCCUGAUGUAGCCAUGCCGCGUGAGUGAAGAAGGCCUUCGGGUGGUAAAGCACUUUCAGCGAGGAGGCGGUACUCGAAGAAGAAGCAACGGCUAACUACGUGCCAGCCGCCGCGGUAAUUC
rnacentral:rRNA from 1 species